rnacentral:tRNA from 1 species
ACGAGCGAUAGUUUAGGUUUAGAACCUUGGCCUUGGGUGCCUAAAGUGGGAGGGAGGUACUUCCUUGUUCGA